GACGAACGCUGGCGGCGUGCUUAACACAUGCAAGUCGAACGGAAAGGCCCCUUUUGGGGUACUCGAGUGGCGAACGGGUGAGUAACACGUGAGUAACCUGCCCUUGACUUCGGGAUAACUUCAGGAAACUGGGGCUAAUACCGGAUAGGAAUCCUUGCUGCAUGGUGGGGGUUGGAAAGCUUCGGCGGUUUUGGAUGGACUCGCGGCUUAUCAGCUUGUUGGUGGGGUAGUGGCUUACCAAGGCUUUGACGGGUAGCCGGCCUGAGAGGGCGACCGGCCACAUUGGGACUGAGAUACGGCCCAGACUCCUACGGGAGGCAGCAGUGGGGAAUAUUGCACAAUGGGCGGAAGCCUGAUGCAGCAACGCCGCGUGCGGGAUGACGGCCUUCGGGUUGUAAACCGCUUUCAGCAGGGGAGAAGCUUGUGGUGACGGUACCUGCAGAAGAAGCACCGGCUAACUACGUG
rnacentral:rRNA from 1 species